AGUGAACGCUGGCGGUAGGCCUAACACAUGCAAGUCGAACGGCAGCACAGUAAGAGCUUGCUCUUACGGGUGGCGAGUGGCGGACGGGUGAGGAAUACAUCGGAAUCUACUUUUUCGUGGGGGCUAACGUAGGGAAACUUACGCUAAUACCGCAUACGACCUACGGUUGAAAGCAGGGGAUCUUCGGACCUUGCGCGAUUGAAUGAGCCGAUGUCGGAUUAGCUAGUUGGCGGGGUAAAGGCCCACCAAGGCGACGAUCCGUAGCUGGUCUGAGAGGAGGAUCAGCCACACUGGAACUGAGACACGGUCCAGACUCCUACGGGAGGCAGCAGUGGGGAAUAUUGGACAAUGGGCGCAAGCCUGAUACAGCCAUACCGCGUGUGUGAAGAAGGCCUUCGGGUUGUAAAGCCCUUUUGUUGGGAAAGAAAAGCAGCAGGUUAAUACCCCGCUGUUCUGACGGUACCCAAAGAAUAAGCACCGGCUAACUUCGUG
rnacentral:rRNA from 1 species